GAGUGUUUAGAAUGUUUAGCUAACAAAAAUGAGGAUUUUUAUUUCAGGUUCUUGCCCCCAGAAACUUAUCGGCCAAGCGAAAAACGUAUGAUUAUCGAAGACGGUUCUCUUUGAUUCAUCAAGAAACUUUUGAAGUUUUCUUUCAAGUAAUAUCAGUUGGAGUGCAAGGUGAGAAGAGAACAGAUUCUAUGUCGUUUCUCAUCGCGCAGUUACAAGCCAAGACAGAAUGACUGCAAAUUGGCUCCAAUUUUGAGCACAAGUUUCUGGAUGAUACUUUCCGGAAAAUCUCUAACAGUAUUCAAGGAGUAAACUCUCAUGUGGUUCGAGACAUUACAUCAAAGCCUCCUUCAACGAUCGAAUGGGAAUAAAAGAUUUUGAUCAGUUAAGAAAGAAUUAGCUCAAAGGUUUGAGAGAGUUAAGUCUCUGGAUCUGCAUCCUACAGAACCAUGGUUUCGAGCAAGUUCUAUUCUGGAAUUCUGUGUAUUUGUAACUACUAGACACAUGUGGGUGAAUAAUUUUUAUUUUUAAUCUGUUAUCAUAUGCAGGGUAACCAAACGUGCAGCUGAAAUAUUAUUUUAUUUAUGUGUUCUACGAGGUUUCACAGAUUUAUCAUAGAUUUGUAGGAUGCUUUUAUGAUUCAUAGACCUUAUUCUAAUCUGGAUAUUGUUUGAUAAUCCUCAGGUGAUUGCAAAGUCAUUCGAGGUGACCGAUUUACCAAGUAUCUCA